rnacentral:rRNA from 1 species
GAUGAACGCUAGCGGCAGGCUUAAUACAUGCAAGUCGAGGGGUAGCAAGAUUGUAGCAAUACAAUUGUUGACGACCGGCAAACGGGUGCGGAACGCGUACACAACCUUCCUACAAGUGGGGAAUAGCCCAGAGAAAUUUGGAUUAAUACCCCGUAACAUAGCGAUGUGGCAUCACAUUGCUAUUAUAGCUUCGGCGCUUGUUGAUGGGUGUGCGGCUGAUUAGAUAGUUGGCGGGGUAACGGCCCACCAAGUCUACGAUCAGUAGCUGAUGUGAGGGCAUGAUCAGCCACACGGGCACUGAGACACGGGCCCGACUCCUACGGGAGGCAGCAGUAAGGAAUAUUGGACAAUGGACGCAAGUCUGAUCCAGCCAUGCCGCGUGAAGGAUUAAGGUCCUCUGGAUUGUAAACUUCUUUUAUAAGGGACGAAAAAAGGUCUUUCUAGAUCGUCUGACGGUACCUUAUGAAUAAGCACCGACUAACUCCGUGCCAGCCGCCGCCGUAACAC